rnacentral:rRNA from 1 species
UACGUAGGGGGCAAGCGUUGUCCGGAUUUAUUGGGCGUAAAGAGCGUGUAGGCGGCCAGGUAGGUCAGCUGUGAAAACUCGAGGCUUAACCUCGAGACGCCGGCUGAAACCCUCUGGCUAGAGUCCGGAAGAGGAGAGCGGAAUUCCUAGUGUAGCGGUGAAAUGCGCAGAUAUCAGGAAGAACACCCGUGGCGAAGGCGGCUCUCUGGGACGGUACUGACGCUGAGACGCGAAAGCGUGGGGAGCGAACAGG